rnacentral:sRNA from 1 species
GCCUAAACCUGACAGGAGCGGAUCCCGAUUCUUCAAUCGGGAUGGAGCAGAUGGCGGGGCUAAAA